rnacentral:tRNA from 1 species
CAGGGUGUGGCGCAGUUGGUAGCGUGCCGCACUUGGAAUGCGGAAGUCGCCGAUUCGAGUCCGGCCGCCCUGACCA